CAAAAAGCCACCAAAAACCGCUCGCUCGGCCUACACGAACACAAAUCCAAAACCUCAAACCUCUUCUCUCUCCUCUAGCUCUCUCUCUCUCUCUCUCUCUCUCUCUCUCUCUCUACUUUUCCGUGCUUUAUCCUUUAUCCUAUCCAGGGUUUCCUCCCCCGCACUCCAUUUCCUGCUUCUCGUCCUUCUCCUUCUCCGUCGCACACUGUGAGUCUGAAAAUCAUGAGUGAAAUCGGAGAGAAAACGUGUCCGAUAUGCGCUGAGGAGAUGGAUUUGACGGAUCAGCAGCUGAAGCCGUGCAAAUGCGGUUAUGAGGUAUGUGUUUGGUGUUGGCAUCACAUUAUGGAAAUGGCAGCGAAGGAUGGAAAGGAGGGUCGCUGUCCAGUAUGCCGUACACCUUAUGACAAAGAAAAAAUUGUUGGAGUGGCGGCAAAUUGUCAAAAGUUGGUGGCUGAAAUUAAUGUGAAGCGGAAACAGAAAAAACCCAAGGGAUCUGAAGUAAAGAAGCAGCAUCUUACUGAUGUUAGAGUUCUCCAACGGACCCUAGUAUAUGUGAUUGGAAUACCUCUUAACCUAGCGAGUGAAGACCUUCUCAAGCGAAGGGAGUAUUUUGGCCAGUACGGAAAGGUUUUGAAGGUUUCUAUCUCUCGUACAGCAAAUGGGGCUAUCCAACAGGCUCCAAACAACAGUUGUUGUGUGUAUAUAUCAUACUCAAAAGAAUAUGAAGCAGCUCGGUGCAUUCAAUCAGUACACAGUUUUGUGUUAGAUGGUCGAUGCUUGAGGGCAUCUUUUGGAACCACAAAGUACUGCCAUGCAUGGUUGAAAAGUGUGCCUUGCAACAAUCCAGAUUGUUGGUAUUUGCAUGAUUUUGGUUCUCAGGAAGAUAGUUUUACCAAGGAUGAAUUGCUUUCAGCCUUUGAAAGGAGUAAAGAUCACCAAAAUAUCGGUGUUACAAAUAAUUUGAAUCGGCAUUCAGUGAAAGGCUUACCUCCCCCAACUGCUGAGAAUAGCAAAGCUGAAAGAUCAUCAGCUACUAAACAUCCAUCAAAUAUUACUGGGAAUGAGGUUAAGAGUUAUCGUGCAGAUGGUGACUCCAGAACAUCUAUUCCUGCAAUAGCACCUUGGGUCAUGCAAGUCACCCCUAGUGUGCCCCCAGCAACAAGUUCUCCAGGUUCUGAAAGGGCUCUUUAUCAAAAUCCUGAGAAAUCAAGUGAUCUCAAUCCCCUUUCAUCAGAAGUGGUACGCAAUGAAAGUUCUACCCACAAUGUAAGAUCUGAAGAAAGCUGUGAGUGGCUAAUGACCGAACAGGUUAUCACCAAAAAUGGUCAAGCAGCUAUAUCAAAUACAACUUCUGGUGCUCUAGCAGAAAGAGCUCCGGUCAGUGUAACUUCCAACAAAAACUUAUGUUGUCCAUCACCAAACAAUGGCAUUGAGCGGGGUAGCAGAGUAACAUCCACCAACUUGAUCAGCAACAACAACAGUUAUUGUUCAUCAUCAAACUUAUCAGAUAAAUCCAUUGAUAUCCAAGGCAGUAGUGUUGCUGAAUUGUAUAGGACAUAUGAACCUACCAGUGUGUUACCUGAGAUGGGAUUAGGGAAGUACUCGAGAGGGUGUGAAAUCAAUAAGCCCAGCAUUCACCGCAGUCUUUCUCCAGAUAUAGGAGAGAGUGGCAUAAUCUCAAGUAUUUUGACUAUGGACUUGGAUGCACCUGACGGUUCUUUAUCUCCUCUUCACAAUCUUGUAAAGUUGUUGGGUGAAACUGAUAAAGAGUGCAGUCUCCUCAGAGUACAAAAUUCACGAAAACUGCUUGAUAAAAAGCAGUCCAGGUUCUCAUUUGCUCAACAAGAGGAUUCUUGUGAUAAUAAUAUAUGGAAUGCAUCCAAGGACUACGCCUUAUCUGAUUUGAUGGGCAACAAGGAGUACUUAGUAGAUGUAGAGUCUAAUAAGUUUCUUGGGGUUCCUUCUUUUACAUCUUCUAAAGUAUCAGAAGUUCCUCGUUCAAUUGCGCCAGGAUUUUCAAUGCCAAGUAGAGCACCACCUCCAGGGUUUUCUUCUCCUCCAGGGUUUUCUUCUCAUUUGAGGCCUAGGAGGGUGGAUCAGGCUUUUGACAGUUCAGUGAAUCACUUGUUGCAACCAUCAUGUAUACCAACUGGUUAUUCUGGUAUUAAUGGGAAUGUCGAGAUCAAUGAUCCAGCAAUUUUGGAAGUCAGUGAGGAACUAUUGGCAAGAGGGUUGAUGAAUAAGAGAGCAAAUUUAUCUCAGUUUAACUCUUCUGAGCCAGAUGCUAGGCUCCAUAUGCUGAGACAGCAGACAACUUCUGCCCCGCAGAACUUAGGAUGUCAAGACCACUUCAUGAAUAGUUACUCUUACCUAAAUGAUGCACAAAGAAUUACUCCACAGCAGCCAGAUCAAUUCCAGCCCAAUCCAUCAUUUGUGCAACCCACCAGUCAACACUUAAGUGACAUGCAUUUAUCAAAUAAUGAUUGGGUGCAAUGGAAUCGGGUCAAUAGUGUUGCCGAUCUUGGUAUAUCAGAUCUACUGAGAAACGAUCGACUGGGAUUUAACAAGCUCAUUCCCUGUUAUGAGAAUAUGCAGUCUCCAACAAGUUACUUCAGUCAUCUAAACAACAGAUCAUUUGAAAUGUGAAAUUUUCUGUUGCUGGAGUUUCUCUUUCACGCUUGACUGGGGUCAAGUGUGACUGAGUGGAUUACCCGGUUGAUGUUAACUUUUCCCAUGUGAUGGAGCUUCAUGUUUUGAGUUCUAUCCAAAGUUAAUAAGUAUUGCCUAGUAAGGAUCAACCUUUGUCUUUCUGUUUGUUGGAAUUUGAUGUUUCCCGAAAAGACAGUAACGGGUUUAAGGAUUACUGCAUCGACAGAAUGGAACGCUCAGUGGGAAGGAGGUUUAUGCAUUCAUUUGGUAGUAAGAGGCCUCGAGUACCGACAUUCCUGGUCUGUCUCGUAAGUGUCAAUGCAGUGAAAAGUCUCCAUAUAGUGAAGGCACAUGUUACCUAAGCAAGGAAAUGGAUAUGCUAUCAUUGGUAUGAGGGAACACAGAUGGGCUGCUGCAACUUCUAAAAGCAAGGCAGAGGGCACUGAUAUUAACAAGUCCGUCCGUCUUUGUUUACUCAACUUAGUGGAUGAAUCUGAUGUUACCCAAUAUCGACCUUUGUUAAAGAUUGAUUACUUUCGCUAGUGAGCAAGUGUAUAAUUGCGACAAAUGAAUGCUGAACUGAAAGUUGAGUUGGUGGUAAUGAUUUGGCUGAAUGUUAUGGCAUAUAUGCUAUCAGAGACCGUUAAGAGGGGGAGAGCCUUAGGCUAAGGCCCUUAGCUAUCCCCGAGUGUACACCCGAUUCCGGUUAAGAUGUUCUGUAUUAAGUAAAGUAGUACUCGAGAAGUAUCAUUUGUGUUCAUCUUUGUUUUCUUUA